AUGGGAACGCGAAGAACCUUACCUAGACUUGACAUCUUCUGCAUUAAUCGUAAUGGAUGAAAUCCCUUCGGGGACAGAAUGACAGGUGGUGCAUGGUUGUCGUCAGCUCGUGUCGUGAGAUGUUGGGUUAAGUCCCGCAACGAGCGCAACCCCUAUUAUUAGCUGCUAACAUUAAGUUGAGCACUCUAGUGAGACUGCCCGGGUUAACCGGGAGGAAGGUGGGGAUGACGUCAAAUCAUCAUGCCCCUUAUGUCUAGGGCUACACACGUGUUACAAUGGUGGGAACAAAGAGAUGCAAGACCGCGAGGUGGAGCUAAACUCAAAAACCCCAUACCCAGUUCGGAUUGUAGGCUGAAACUCGCCUACAUGAAGCUGGAGUUGCUAGUAAUCGCGAAUCAGAAUGUCGCGAUGAAUACGUUCCCGGGUCUUGUACACACCG
rnacentral:rRNA from 1 species